AGGAUAAACGCUGGCGGCGUGCUUCAGGCAUGCAAGUCGAACGGACACUACGGUGUCAGUGGCGGACGGGUGAGUAACACGUAAGUAACCUGCCCGGAAGUGGGGAAUAACUAGCCGAAAGGUUGGCUAAUACCGCAUAUGAUGGCUCCUCCCUGGAGGGGUCCUCAAAGGCCGAAAGGUCGCUUCCGGAGGGGCUUGCGGCCGAUUAGCUAGUUGGUGGGGUAAUGGCCCACCAAGGCAACGAUCGGUAGCUGGUCUGAGAGGACGGUCAGCCACACGGGGACUGAGAUACGGCCCCGACUCCCUACGGGAGGCAGCAGCUAGGAAUCUUGGGAAUGGGCGAAAGGCCUGACCCAGCAACGCCGCGUGGGCGAUGAAGGCCUUCGGGUACGUAAAGCCCUUUUGCGAGGGGAAGAUAGAUGGACGGUACCCUGCGAAGUAACGCCGAACGGCCUAACUACGU
rnacentral:rRNA from 1 species